CAAUAGCGUAUAUUAAAGUUGUUGCGGUUCAAAAAGCUCGUAGUUGGAUUUCUGCUGAGGACGACCGGUCCGCCCUCGGGUGAGGUAUCUUGGCUUGGCCUUGGCAUCUUCUUGGAGAACGUAGCUGCACUUGACUGUGUGGUGCGGUAUCCAGGAUUUUCACUUUGAGGAAAUUAGAGUUGUUUCAAGCAGGCACACGCCUUGAAUACAUUAGCAUGGAAUAAUAAGAUAGGACCUUGGUUCUAUUUGGUCGGUUUCUAAAACUGAAGUAAUGAUUAAUAAGGAUAGUUGGGGGCAUUCGUAUUUAAUUGUCAGAGGUGAAAUUCUUGGAUUUUGUUAAAAGACGGACUAUUGCGAAAGCAUUUGCCAAGGAUGUUUUCAUUGAUCAAGAACGAAAGUUAAGGGAUCGAAGACGAUUAGAU
rnacentral:rRNA from 1 species